GCCAGACAAGAAGGCUGGCACACAGCCCCUACUGCUGGGGCUGCAUCUUUAAGACCUGCAGGCGGACAUCUGGCCCGCUGCUGCCUGGAUGAGAAAGGUCCCAGCCUUGAGGGUCCUUGAGUACCAGGUCAUGCCCAUCUGCAUCUUUUCUGCCAGUGUCCUGUGCCCUCCUGGGGUGGACUACCUUUAUGUUAAAGAUCUCUCAUCUAGAGGAGGAAAGACAAGCUUGACUCUCCUUGCAACCAGGAAAUUAGGCUUUCAUCAGACCUGUACCACUGGGGACUGUGAGGGUCAGCAGACAGAAAUGGGGUCUCUGCCUUCAGAGCACUUUUGA
rnacentral:lncRNA from 1 species